AAGUUCAGAGAGAGCACCGGGUGAGCCUCCCAGAAAGUCCUCUGCUCGAAGCUCUGGGGCCAUCUGGGUCAGCAGCCCCACCUUGUGGCACGUCAUUGAGCUACUGAGGCCAGCCUGAGGCUGUUCUGAGGUCGGGGGCAGGGAGCCUUGUGCCCACAAUGGAGGCCUCCAAGAGUAGGUCUUCCUCACCUCCAAAUUCUAGAAGACUAACCUGUUUUUAUGUUCCUGCAGGAACAUCAACUCGUGACAAGACUGCCCUCUUCUUUUGGGGGGCAUUAAUAUUUUUAAUGUUGCAAUUAAUUUUUCAUGUUUUUAUAUUGCCAAGGCUGUAAUGGGGGGGUCGGCUGCAUAAACCCCUCAGAGAGUGGGUAGCCAGUUGUCCUGUCGCCAUUGAUCUAACUGUCCACACCUGCCCCAUGCUUCUGAAACGAUGCCUCUGUCUUAUAAACCAUCCCCACACAUGGAUCUGUGGGAGCCAGGAAGGAGAAUGAACGUGAAGUGAUCAAAGAGGCAAACCAGAUUGAGAGGACACCUGGAGCAGCAGGGUGACAAGCCACUGACCUUACAGGGCUGUGAGGCAGUGUGCCCUAAAGGAAGCCUUAGACACAACCUGAGCCCUCCUGCCUAAAAAGCUCAGCUUGGCAACACACCUUAUGAGUGAUCUCCAGGUGCUGGUGAGGAACGGGGCCGGAGCCCACGGAGCAAAGAUGGGUGGAGAGAACAGCACAAGGAGCAGGAACCAUGACAAGGAAAAGAGAGCAAGAACCUGGCGCGUGUCGACAUUCUAGAACCUCAUCUUGUUUCCACCUCUUUCUGUCUGUCUGUCAGGACACCUUGGCAGCAGCGUGCCUGAGCGCCAAGUGUCAGUGGGACUGCCGGAUCAAAUAUGUUCCCAGCCCCACAUGGGACACACUUAUGCUAAAAAAAUUAUUUGCUGUUUAUCUGUUUAAAUUCUAAUUUAACUGA